rnacentral:rRNA from 1 species
UACAGAGGGUGCGAACGUUGCUCGGAAUUACUGGGCGUAAAGCGCGUGUAGGCGGAUCCGUAAGUCGGGCGUGAAAUCCCCAGGCUCAACCUGGGAACUGCGCUCGAAACUGCGGGUCUUGAGUGUCGGAGAGGAUGGCGGAAUUCCUGGUGUAGAGGUGAAAUUCGUAGAUAUCAGGAGGAACACCGGUGGCGAAGGCGGCCAUCUGGACGACAACUGACGCUGAGACGCGAAAGCGUGGGGAGCAAAC